CAGUCGCCGCGGGAAUACGUAGGGUGCGAGCGUUGUUCGGAAUUACUGGGCGUAAAGCGCACGUAGGCGGCUUGGUAAGUUAGAGGUGAAAGCCUGGAGCUCAACUCCAGAAUUGCCUUUAAGACUGCCGAGCUAGCAGGUGAGAGAGGUAAGUGGAAUUCCGAGUGUAGAGGUGAAAUUCGUAGAUAUUCGGAGGAACACCAGUGGCGAAGGCGGCUCACUGGUCCAUUACUGACGCUGAGGUGCGAAAGCGUGGGGAGCAAACAGGAUUAGAUACCCCAGUAGUCCCUGUCUCUUAUAC
rnacentral:rRNA from 1 species